UCCUAAGGUUAAAUUGGAGGGUCAGCACGUGGCUUGGUGAGUGUGAAGCUGGACAUUUUCGUCUCAUUUGAAUUAAACAAUAUAGCUAGAUAGUUCCUUUCCUCAGCAGUCAUGUUUUAUUUAUGUAGCCAGUAGACGAAUUCCCUCGAUGUGGCUAGCUAACGUUAGCAGCUUGCUAGAAAAAGUAGGCUAAUUGUAGAACGUCAGCAGGAAGCUCAUGUUGGCUAAGUAGUUAGCUAUAGCUACUUAAACGUUUGUAUGGAACUUUCAAUUUUUUAUUUCGACUUGAGGCAAAUCAAGUGUUAGGCUAAAUCAAAACGAGAUAUAUUUGCCAAUACCCAAGAGGAGUGAACCUUUCUAUGGACACUGCUUAACUAGCAAGUUACCUGGGGCAUUGCGGUGUCUGGCACGUUGUCUGAAACGUCUCCUAUGAUGUUUUACACUGGGCUCUGAGAACUCUGUGGCGAAAAAGUGCUCUCUGGCUCUGACAGGCCUGAGUCUGAGGAUAAUGUUAGUCUGAGUCUUGUAGAUUUUUAUUAAUGCUCAUUGAUUAUUGUCCUAAUGGAACUUAUUUCCCCCAAAGGUGACAAGGCUAAGUCGAUACCAAACUACAAGAUCUUGGACCUCCACAGAAGAUGAGUGGUGAUUAACAUGGGGUGAGAUCUUCAAUGGAUAACUUAAGGGCCUGUGUUUUGCACGAGGCGCUGUUUUACCUGCAUUUCCAGCAUUAUCCAGCUGGUGUCACUUCAGUCCCUUUAUUUGUUUCAAUCAACCAGCUCACCAAUUUAUCAAAGCAAUAAGGAUUAUUUCCCCAACAUGARCAAGAUUGCGAAACAAUAUCCCUUUUGCUAAUAAUUCUGUAGAUGUGGGAAGAAUUGUUAAUACAAGGGCUGACUCAUCAAUGGAAAUGUGCUGACCUAAGUGAGAUUUUUUAUUAAUGUUCCUGAUUGUUAUGUAAGUCUGAAACAUUAAAAUAUUUUUAUCAGAUA